rnacentral:lncRNA from 1 species
UUUUAAAAAUCCCUUAAAUGGACCAGGUUGCUUGUUAGUUUUAAAGUUCUGAUUUUCUUUUCUUAUGGUGAAAGACAAGGAAAAUUAGCCUGUAGAAAUAUGUAACAAGUUUACUCAUUACUCCCAGAAAUUCUUUCUCUGGUAUGCUGAAUAAUGGCCCCAAGGAUAGCAAGCCCUAAUUCCUAGAACCUAUAAAUGUUUCUUUAUAUGACAAAAAGGUAAAUAUUACUUUAUUUAGCAAAAGAUAUGAUUAAGUUAAGGAUCUUGAGAUGGGGAAUUAACCUACAUUAUCUGGGUGGGCCCUAAAUGCAAUCACGUUUAUCUUUAUGAGAGGGAGGCAGAGGGAGAUGCUAACAUGGAAGAGAGGAGGAGAAGGCAGUACCACUGUGGAGGCAGAAAUUGGAGUGAGGUGGUCAGUGAAUGGUGGCAGCCACCAGAAAGCUGGAGGAGACAGCAGAUUGUCCCCUAGAGCCUCCAGAGGAAGUACAGCCUUGCCAACACCUUGAUUUUAGCCCAGUGAACCCAAUUUCAGACUUGUAGCCUGCGGAACUGUAACAGAUGUUUAAAACAACAUCUCUGUUGUUUUAAACCACCAAGUGUGGCAGUCUGUUAUAGCAGCCAUGGGAAACAUAUACCCUUUCUUUAUGCCCAAGUUAAGAUCCAGCUUCUAUACAAUUUUUAUGUCAAAUAUUUCAUUUUAUUGGAGGUUCCUUUUCUUCAAACUCAGUUCUAUAUGUUGAGCACUUCUCAGUGUAGACUCUUAGUGAGUUCUGUUGAAGGAAGAGGAGAUAAGGACGUGGUCUUUCUUCAGAGGGACAGCAAUCUUGUUGGGGAGAAGCAACCAGAAACAGUAAAAUAAAGUGUGCAAUUGGACCUUACCAUUUACUUCAUUCAUUCAUUUGCCCAACAAACGUUUACCAGGUGCCUGCAGUGUGCCAGGCAGUGUUCUAGUGUUGCAGAACACAAAUAUACAAAUGAAUGAGUUCCUUCCCUUGGGAAAUUUAUGUUCUAGUGAGGAAGGUGGACAAAAACAAGUAAGUAUAGCAUGUUGAAGGUGGCAAAUAAAAAGGAGAACAUUUUAACAGGAUAAUAGGAAAAGGGAUUGGGGUAGGUACCAUUUAAUAUAGGGUGGUCCAGGGAUGGCCUGUCCAAUAACUAAUAUGUUGUUUGGUCAGAGAUCUGGAGAGAAAAGUUAUACAGCUCUAUGGGGGCCUGGGGUAGGAGGUGUUAGCAGAAGGAGCAGGAGUGCAAAAAUUCUUGAAGCAGGAGUGUGAUUGGUGUGCUUUUGAGGAACAGCAAGGAAGCUGUUUGUGUCAGAGUGAGUGGAGCAGAUGUGGAGGAGAGGGAUGUAAGUGGGGGUCGGGGAGGGUGUGGUGGAGGAGCAGGUGAUGUUGGAGCCCAGGGGCCCUUGAGAAGUCUUUGGCUUUUAAUUUGACUGAGGUAGGAAGCCAGCACAGGGCUUUGAGCUGUUGUGGAGUCAGUUAAGUGAUCUAACUUGUAUUUUGGAAGGAUCUCUGGUUGCUGUGUGGAGCUAAACGGCAAAGGGGCAGUCAAGAGGGGAGACCAAUUAGGCUACCGCAGUCAUCUCCAUAAAAAAUAAUGUUGUCUCAGGUCAGUGUAAUGCAGCUGGUGAGAAAUGACCAGAUCCUGGAUAUAUUUUGAUGGUAGACUCUGCAGUAUUUGUUGACAGUUGGAUGUGGGGUGUAAGAUCACAGUCACCUAACAUACUGGAAGGUGAAACUACCUUUUGCUGAAAUGGGAAAGACUGUUGAUAAAGCAUGUUUAGAGUGAAAAAGGCAAGAGUUGGUUUUAGGUGUGUCUACUUGAGAGAUGCCUGUUAUCCACCCAUGUGGAGAAGUGGAGGAAGCAGAUUAGAGUUCAUGGGCAAGAACCCACCUAUCAGUGGUAAAGGGCUCUUACAGUCAUUGAUUUGUGCUUAUGCAAGACAUGAGCUUAAGGUAGCACUUACCUAUUCACCCACCUUUACCUGCCACUUCCUACCUAUGAGACAGGUGCUGGGUGAGCCCAGACCACAGAGCUGAGGAGUGCAGUAGAGCCAUGCCCAGCUACCAGUAGUGCAAUGCAUCCUUGUUCUCAAGCUGUGGCAUGACCAGCGAGAUACCAGUCAGGCCUUGGUGUGAAUUCCAGCUCUGGCCAGGCAGUCUGGCAUCACUCACAGAGCCUCAGUGUCCUCAUCUCUGGAUUAAACAUAAUAACAUUGUCUUUCAGGGGUGUCUGAGUGUUGGAAGACUGUCAGCCCUCAAGUUCUGUCAAUGUCUCUCAAAUCUCUGCACUUCAUCUUCCUGUCAAGUCUUUUUGGUGCUGGUUUUACCCCCCCUAAACCUAUCCUAAACAGUAUAGCUAGAAUAAUCUAAGUGCAGGUCAGAUGAGGUCAGUCCCCUCCUUGCCCAUAGGAUAACUGAUCAUAAACAUGACUUCCAAGGUUCUUUGUGAUCUGCCUCUCCGUUACUCUCCAGCCUCAACUCUGUCCCCUUCUUCCCCCAUGCCCUUCAUUUCUGUCCGAUUGAGCUUCCAGUUGAAGGCCCUAUGCUGUCAUAUCACCGUGUUCUCCUGUGUUGUCUCUCCUGCUUCAACUUACAUGUCACUUCUUCCAGGAAGUCUUCCUGCCCUAGCAGGAGAUGCCCCUGCUCUGUACUUCCCUGUCACACUUCAGUAAAGUGCCUUAUUUUUGUGUCUCCCCCACUGCACCAUAAUCUUAAGAAAAUAAUGAUAUCUAUUUCACAAAGGCCUUAACUCAGGAGCACUGCCAGUAACUGCCCAAAAAAGUGUUCACUAAUAUUGCCGAUACAUUUGCUUUUUUAUUAUACUUCAAACCAUUUGAAAGACUGUUCCUCAUGUACUUAUAUCAGCACAUUAAAACAGUUGUCCAUUUGGCAUUGUGGAAUGUGCCAUUAGAUGAUUUAGUAGUUUCCCUAGUAAGUGUGGGAAGAAGAGUGGAUAACUUAUAAGCUCAAAAGUCUACCAGAAGGGAAGAAAAUUGGAGAAGUGGACAGGCAGUUAUAUGAAACGGACAAGAGACAAAUGGCAAAAAGCAAUCAAGGAAGAAGACAGCCGGUCACUUCUAUGUGGAGGCUUCUACCUCUGCAGCCAUGGGUUCAAGCCCCGCCUGAGGGAAAGUGGGCACUCUGCAUUCACUGAGUCGCUGCAGUGUUGCUGGGCAGCAACUCAGUAUACUACGUAUAUUAAAAAACAAAACCUUACAAAAGUUUAUGUACCCAUUGGUAUCAAUUCUACUUCUAGGAAUUUAUCCUAAGUAAACAAAAGUCCUAAAGUUUUAUAUAUAAGUAUGUUGAUUGCACUAUUGCUUACAAUAGAUAUAAAAACAAAAAAAUAUGCCCCCAAAGGGGGUUGAUUAAGUAUAGUACAUUCAUGUAAUAAAAGGCAAUCAUCCCUCAGUGCCUGUGGGGAAUUGGUUCCAGGACCCCUGUGGAUCCUGGGCUCCUCUGAUGCUUAUAUAAAUGAUGUAACAUUUGCAUAUAUAAAAUGAUGCGGUAUUUGCAUAUAACCUAUGCACAUCCUCCUGUAUACUUUAAAUCAUCUGUAGAUUACUUAUAACACCUGAUACAAUGCCUACACAUCACUGCAUUUGCAUAGACUUAAUGAAGUAGUUGGUGUACAGCAAGGUCAAGUUUUGCUUUUUGGAAUUUUGUAGAAUUUUUUUUUUUCCUGAAUAUUUCUGAUCCUUGUUUGGUUAAAUCCAUGAAUGUAGAAUUCAUGGAUGCAAAACCCAUGGAUAUGGAGGGCUCACUGUAUUAUAACAACUUUACAGAAUUAUGUUGUAGAAGAAUCUUUAAAUAACAUAUUGAAUUACUUGUAUUAAAUUGUUAGGUUAAUAAAAGUAGCUUUCAUAAAAAAGAUUAUUAAUGGUGUUCUCUUUGUGCUGGAACAAUGACUAAUGCUUGUUUUCCCCUUUGAGUUUUUCUAUAUUUUAGAAUUUUCCAUACCAUAGUUACAGUUAAUGGUAGCAGCUAUAAAAGAACACUAUGUAAAAGAAAAAGGAAAAAUCCCUGAUCACUGACAGAAGUUGUACUUGGAUUAGUACUUGACUUCAGGUUCAGUCUCACCAGGAAAGCUGAACUUAUGUGAAUCAGGCUUUAUUGAGGAAUAAAGUUGGUGAAUAU